rnacentral:lncRNA from 1 species
AUCUCUUUCUGGAGGUUGCUCCUCUUUAUGUUUUUUUCUGUGAGCCUAGGACACAGGUGCCUCCCAGGUUAUCUUUGAUCUUGCUGAUAAAACUGUCCUAACAUUAGAGCUGAAAUCUCACCUUGCACGUAAAGGACCUUGUGCGCACGCAGUGUCUUUUCUGGCUUAUCAAAGACAGUUUUAAAAAGAGAAAUGUUAAGGAAACUUUACUGAAUGAGAUCUCCAGUGUCAGAACCCCCAGAUACUAUGUGAGAUGACAGGCAAAAAGGUGGAGACAGGGCAGACGCCUGUAUUCUCCUGUGCUGCCUGACAGGUGUCUGUCUGUCUGUCCCAGAUUCGUGCUCCAGAGCUGGCCUAACUAUUCUGCUCUGUGUUCUCAGUAUCCUGUCAGUGUGGGGGCCUCAGUGCUCUGACUCCAGUGCUACUAAAAUCAGAUGACAUCUUCCUGAGCCACAGUAAUAUGGUGAAGCCAGGGGAUAAAUGGAGUCAGUUCAUGGGUGGUGAACCAUCUGGCAAGCAGUGAACCUGGGAAAGGCAGAGCAUAUGCUCUAGGCAAAAUCAAAUGUCUUUUCAGAUAUAAUAGCUUCUCUGUAGAUAUCUUGUCUGAAAAAGAACAACUUUGUUUUUUGGUUUUGUUCAUGAUUUAGGAAAUUCUCCUUAUUUUUUCACUGGUGUAUGUACCUUUGUAAAGUUCUGUACAUGUAUGAAGAUAGAAAAGUAGUUAUGACUUCAUUUUUUGUGGCAACUCUAUGAUAUACCAUCAGUAAUGAUGAAUUAUGUUUCAGAUAUCAACAACGUUCAAACCAAUUUAGGACUUUGUAUCUCUUUUCAUUAAUACAGUGGGUGUUUCAGAUGCCAUAACCAAAAUAUCUAAAAUAUUUCUGAGAGCUUUUUUAUGAAGUUCACGGCACAUAACUUUGCUCCUUAGGUAUAAUCGUACAAUAUAAUAUGGUAUAAUGCAGCCACUAUAAAGAUAAUAAUUGGACAGGUGGAAUUUUCCUAAUAACGUGAUCUGAGUCUGUGAAAUCGGGUCAAGUAAAUCAUAGGUAUUUCCAACAUCAAUUAAAAAUGUGUUUAAUCUUGAUUUUUCUGUAAUAUAAGCCAGUCAAAUGUGCUCUUACAGACCUAUUUCUUUAACAUAAUUGUCCUUGACAAACAGUCAACCAGGGAUGAUAAGGAAUUUCCCUGUCUCAGAUCCCAGGCUUCAUUGUUCCUCUUCUUCCUGGCUUUCAUGCCAUAUGUUACUUUGUAUCAAAUGGUGUAAUGAUUACAUAAUACAUUUUGGAAAAACAGCUCUGUUGCAUCUAUUCUUUAUUCUCUCAUCUCCCUUUCUCUCUUUGUCAUUACUGAAAAAUAAACUCUAUGGGCAAUCC